CACGGGUGAGUAACACGUAUCCAACCUGCCGUCUACUCUUGGACAGCCUUCUGAAAGGAAGAUUAAUACAAGAUGGCAUCAUGAGUCCGCAUGUUCACAUGAUUAAAGGUAUUCCGGUAGACGAUGGGGAUGCGUUCCAUUAGAUAGCAGGCGGGGUAACGGCCCACCUAGUCUUCGAUGGAUAGGGGUUCUGAGAGGAAGGUCCCCCACAUUGGAACUGAGACACGGUCCAAACUCCUACGGGAGGCAGCAUG
rnacentral:rRNA from 1 species